GACGAACGCUGGCGGCGUGCUUAACACAUGCAAGUCGAACGGAAAGGCCCUGCUUUUGUGGGGUGCUCGAGUGGCGAACGGGUGAGUAACACGUGAGUAACCUGCCCUUGACUUUGGGAUAACUUCAGGAAACUGGGGCUAAUACCGGAUAGGAGCUCCUGCUGCAUGGUGGGGGUUGGAAAGUUUCGGCGGUUGGGGAUGGACUCGCGGCUUAUCAGCUUGUUGGUGGGGUAGUGGCUUACCAAGGCUUUGACGGGUAGCCGGCCUGAGAGGGUGACCGGCCACAUUGGGACUGAGAUACGGCCCAGGCUCCUACGGGAGGCAGCCGUGGGGAAUAUUGCACAAUGGGCGGAAGCCUGAUGCAGCAACGCCGCGUGCGGGAUGACGGCCUUCGGGUUGUAAACCGCUUUCGCCUGUGACGAAGCGUGAGUGACGGUAAUGGGUAAAGAAGCACCGGCUAACUACGU
rnacentral:rRNA from 1 species